GUAAAGACAAAGGGGUGCCCGGACGGGCUGAGAUCAUACCCUCGAACCUGAUGCAGUUAGUACUGCCGUAGGAAUUGGAUAUUGUUUUCUU
rfam:Bacteroides helcogenes P 36-108, complete genome.